UACGUAGGGUGCAAGCGUUAAUCGGAAUUACUGGGCGUAAAGCGUGCGCAGGCGGUUUUGUAAGUCUGACGUGAAAUCCCCGGGCUCAACCUGGGAAUUGCGUUGGAGACUGCAAGGCUGGAGUCUGGCAGAGGGGGGUAGAAUUCCACGUGUAGCAGUGAAAUGCGUAGAGAUGUGGAGGAACACCGAUGGCGAAGGCAGCCCCCUGGGUCAAGACUGACG
rnacentral:rRNA from 1 species